UCUGGGAUUAGAUACCCUGUUAUUUAAAAUAUAAAUGUAUUACUUAGGUAAUAAUAGAAUAUGUUCUUUAAAUUUAAAAAAUUUGGCGGUAUUUUAGUCUAUUCAGAGGAAUUUGUUUUAUAAUCGAUAAUCCUCGUUGUAUCUUUCUUAAUUUUGUUAUCAGUUUAUAUAUCGUCGUUAUUAGAAUAUUUUAUAAAAAAGUUAAUUUUCAUAAUUUUUAAUUUUAAAAUAUAUCAGAUCAAGGUGUAGCUAAUGAUUAAGUAAAAAUGAAUUACAUUAAAAUUUAUUUAUUAUGAAUAUAAAUUUGAAAUAUGUAUUGAAGGUGGAUUUGAUAGUAAAAUUAUAAAUAAUAAUAAUUUGAUUAUAGCUCUAAAAUAUGCACAAAUCGCCCGUCACUCUCU
rnacentral:rRNA from 1 species